GAUGAACGCUAGCGGUAUGCUUAACACAUGCAAGUCGAGCGGUAGAGAGGUGCUUGCAUCUCUUGAGAGCGGCGGACGGGUGAGUAAUGCCUAGGAAUCUGCCUAGUGGUGGGGGAUAACGUUCGGAAACGGACGCUAAUACCGCAUACGUCCUACGGGAGAAAGCGGGGGAUCUUCGGACCUCGCGCCAUUAGAUGAGCCUAGGUCGGAUUAGCUAGUUGGUGAGGUAAUGGCUCACCAAGGCGACGAUCCGUAACUGGUCUGAGAGGAUGAUCAGUCACACUGGAACUGAGACACGGUCCAGACUCCUACGGGAGGCAGCAGUGGGGGAAUAUUGGACAAUGGCGAAAGACCUGAUCCAGCCAUGCCGCGUGUGUGAAGAAGGU
rnacentral:rRNA from 1 species